CUUCCAGGCAUUGUGAAAACCUCUUCUGGCCUUUGAUCCUGUUCUGGGAAGCUUACUCACAUGUGACCACAUAUAAUUACAGCCUUCAUAGCCAGUGCUGGUGGGAUCUGUGUCAGGACAUCUGUGAGCUGGAAUGUGUCUCACCUGUUGAAAUAACUAUUUUAUAGCUACUUGAAAGGCUUUCACUUCUCAGGCACUUACUUCUCUUCAUCCACUGCUCCUCCCUCACAAGCUGAUCACUUCCUGUCCUCAACUUGCACAGUAACCCCAGGAAAAUCUUCCCAUGUGUUCCCUAGGACCUGUCGUACUCCACAUUGGCUCUUAGACAGGCUCUGACCUGCGAAUGUCGCUGGAGCUGUGACCCAUUCCUUGUUCAGCUCAGCACAGCUUGCCUAAGUAGAUGUGAGACACUUGGGACCAAAUCCCCAAGAGGGAGCUACAACAUGAGGGAAACGCAAAGCUCAAGAGACAGCAAAGAAAAAUGAUCUUGCAGCAGCCUAGUAAAGAAGGACUAUACCUGGGAGUAAGAAAAAAGGGGAAAGCAAGUCUCAGCUUCUUGUACCUUCUUCAGGGUUGGCUCAUGGAUUUUACAUUUAAAACUCAUGGAACAAAAGGCACUAUCAACGGGGUUUAAUUUCCUUUUCUGACUGCAGACCUCUCUUACACCUCCACAUAUCCUACCUUAAUCACUACUCUGUAGUAAAAGCCAUGAGGCCAUUCAUCCCCUUCCCACACUGACCUGAAAUGGGGCAAAUUUACAAGAAACAAUUAAGGAUUUUUGGUUUUGAAAGACAGCAUGAUUACCUAUAAAACACUGACACGAGUA